GCGGGAGCGCGCGGCCUGCGUUCCUGCCUCGCCCGCCUCCUCGCGGCGCCCCGCCUCACCCUUCUCUGUGCUCGUCCCGGCCGUACGCGGCCGUUAGCGCCGCCGCCGCUUCAAUUUAUCCGUCAGUCGGGCGGCGGGAGAGAGCGCGAGAGGCGCUGGCGCCCGCUCUUUGGCUGAAGCGGCGACCGCGGGGGCGGAGGUGCGGGGGAUAGCCGGUCCGGGCCGUCCUCUCUCCCCAGCCGCGGGGAGGAGGGAGGCCGAGGAGGGAGAAGGCGGAGGCUGAGCCCACUCCCCUUUAGGUCCGCUCCUCUGAGUGACUGCUGUCCGCGAGGAGGGGGAGGAAGGGGCGAGUCUCUCUGCAGCCCUCAUCGAGCCGCCGCCUGCCCAGGCCUCUGAUCGGCCCUGCGGGCGGCGCUGAAGCGGGCGUCGGCGGGGCGCGCGGGCCGCGUGAGCCCGGGCUCUGCAGCACACGGGGUGUCUGUGUCUUCAGACUAAUUUAAGAUACAGUCCUGAGAAAGUUGAGACACAAGGAAUUGCAUACAGAACUACUACUUUCCGCCAGUAUUCUUUUUCCUCUUUCCUAUCCCUCUUCUUCCAUAAGGGAGUACAGCUUAGGAUUUUAGGUCCGUUCAUCCCACAGAAAUCUACCUUAUUCUUUAAGGGAUAGGCUAGACGUUGCCUGUUAUAGUAUCAGGAGAACGUUAUUCGUUGCUUGCUGAGGGAGCUUUAUUUGUAUAUUUGGAGUGCAGUGUAGAGAGGCAUCCAGGAGGCUUCCUUGCCCUCCCUUUUUGAGUAAUAGUGGAUUCAGGAAAAAGGGUGCUUACGGAGACACGUGACCUCGUCAAAGGACCCAAGACUGAAGCAGCACUUGGCACACUGAAGGAAGCACCCGCUUAUCUUUUGGCAUCUUUUUUUGUCUGCUGCUGGUUCCUCACCAAUUUCGGGUAAUUCCAUUGAAAAGAAACCUUGAAGGUUGCAAGAAAAAUCCAAGAUGUGCAGUUCAGUUGCUCCCAGAUUGUGGUUCUUAACAGACCGUCGCAUCAGAGAAGAUUACCCUCAGCAGGAGAUCCUGAGAGCGUUGAAGGCCAAGUGCUGUGAAGAAGAGCUGGAUUUCCGGGCCUUGCUGAUGGAUGAAGUGGUGCUGACAGUCGAGGAUGGAAAUCUUGGUCUUCGGGUGAACGGGGAGCUUAUUACUGCUUACCCCCAGGUGGUGGUAGUCCGAGUACCAACACCUUGGGUCCAAAGUGACAGUGAUAUCACAGUCCUUCGCCAUCUAGAGAAGAUGGGCUGUCGGUUAAUGAAUCGUCCCCAGGCCAUCCUCAACUGUGUCAAUAAGUUCUGGACGUUUCAAGAACUUGCUGGUCAUGGUGUGCCCCUGCCAGAUACCUUUUCUUAUGGUGGUCAUGAGAAUUUUGCCAAAAUGAUUGAUGAGGCGGAAGUGCUGGAGUUCCCUAUGGUGGUGAAGAACACGCGGGGUCACCGAGGCAAAGCUGUGUUCCUGGCACGAGACAAGCACCAUCUGGCAGACCUGAGCCAUUUGAUCCGUCAUGACGCCCCAUACUUAUUUCAAAAAUAUGUUAAAGAGUCCCAUGGCAAGGAUGUACGUGUCAUCGUAGUAGGAGGCCGUGUGGUGGGCACCAUGCUCCGUUGCUCUACAGAUGGGAGAAUGCAGAGUAACUGCUCACUUGGUGGUGUAGGGAUGAUGUGCUCACUGAGUGAACAAGGCAAGCAACUGGCAAUCCAAGUGUCCAACAUCCUGGGGAUGGACGUGUGUGGCAUUGACCUACUGAUGAAGGACGACGGUUCAUUCUACGUCUGUGAGGCCAAUGCAAAUGAACCAAAAAAGUCAAACAAGUCAGAGAAAACUUUUCCUUCUCUCCUUUCUGAUGACAAGAAUGAGAACUUAUGAAAAGUCCUUGAGAAUGUUCCUUCCUAAACUUUUCCUCACAGUAAUGCAAGCGGGUAAAAUGGUAAACGCUGCAGUUUGGUGACGUCUAAAACCACCCUGUUGUCAGGAAUGUAGCGCUUGUGAAAGAUACUGGAUCAACAGUUGCAGAGACUGAACUCCUCUACCUGCAAGAAAGGUAACAGUAUCUAGAUUCCAGCUUUAGAACACUGCAUCUUGCUUCCUGAUCUGGAAAGGCAUUUCCCAAAGUCAGAAGAUGAGUUUGGCACCCAUUACUAAGUUUUCAGUGUGUCUAUAAUGCAAAUAUUAAGGAAGCUAGAUAGAUGUUAGUUGCAGAGAUUUUUAUUAUGAUGACUGCUUGAAUUUCUGCUACUCAAUUUUGGGAAAAAGCAACUAACAUUUCAGUGAUUUGUUUCUCUAGGUUGUUUUUUCUUUUUUUCACCAGUAAGAGACAUAUUCUCCCUCUUUUGGGGACACUUGUUUCUUGAUAAUGUCUCUUCCAUAGUGGAAGAAAGAAAGGAUUAACCAGCAGCAAUGUAGAAUGGGAUGAUGUCCAGGCUUGGACUAACAGUCAUAAUGAGCACCAUCUUGCUAACUUCAAGAUCUGAAUAAAAGUUACGUGUUCUAAUUCAUGAGAGUGUCCAGUUCUUCAUGUUAUCUUCUGUGAUAGCCUUUCUUCAAGUGCUGCUUAACUUCAGAAGUCUGUUAAUCUUGCACUUUUUAUUCAGCUGAGCCAGAACCUGUUGGAUAUUUGCCAUUACCCUUACAUUCUAUUCCUUCAGAGAAUUCCUAAGAAUUCUGAAAUCCUUUCUAUUAGCAAUUUUCCCAGAUGCCUUGGAAGCCCUGGAUCAGGCCUUUGAUUUUAUCAGUUGUAUUGCUGAGAGUACAAGUCUUUUGUGAGUUUUUAAAGGAAAACCAUUCUAUCCUGAUAACAUUGGUGACUGCUAGGGAAAAACAGAUCUGCACCUCUAACAUAUUAGAGAUUCUUUGUUAAGGUAAUGUAUGUUUGGAUUUGAGCUGUUUGGCAGUUAUGGACAUGAGCAUGUAAAUUAAAAAUACUUUUUCUGAAAUGAGCUAAUCUUUAAAACUAUGGGCUAUAGAUCUUGUAUGUAUCCCUUUACAUUUGUUGUUAGUGAAACACUGUAAAGAAUUAGACGUCUAUCAAUACUAGUUCUAUAAUGUAAUUACUUGAAGCAUGUAUUUUAAAAAAAAUCAAUAAGUUCUUGGCUCCUGCAGUCAUUUAAUCUAUCUCUUCAGUAAGAGGGAUUUGUCUCCUUACAGUCCAUCUCGUCAUGUAUCUUGGUUAAGAGCUCUCUUUAAUAAGAGCAGUGGUCAAGAAUGUGCGAAUAACAUGCUAAAUUUUACUACUUUUUGUCUUUCCCUUGUUCCUUUGAAUUAUCAGUUGGACUUGUAUACUAGAUAUCAAUACCUUGAUAUUCAUAAUUUGUAUAUUACUUUUUUGAGUGUUAAACAGUACAGUGGAAACUGCAUGUUAAUAUGUCUUUGAUGUUAGCACUGACUUGUGCUGUGAUUGUUAGGAAGAGCUGGUACUAACAGUUCACUUUGCACUUUUGUUGAAUUUCCUCUUAAGUGGAAUUGUGUUUUUGUGCUGGCUACAGAAAUUGAACAUUUGCAAAACUCUGAUAUGCUUAGGGUUAUGAAGUUUUGUAGUGGCGUAUGUUUGUAUCAGUACCAUGCAGGGAGAAAGGUUGUAAAUUUGUUUGCUAUAAGCCUUUGAAAACUUCUGUAACUUGAGCAUUCUCAGUUGUGCAAGAUUUAAGCUGACAGCUGUACUUUUAUGACAAUCUUUUGUAUUUUCCUGGUCAUUUCCUUUAUUUUUUGUUUUAUCACCUUGAUUGCUUCUCCAAUGCAUACUUUCCACCUCUGUACAGCUUGGUUUAUUACUCUGUUUAUCUCUAGGUUAUCUCAAGCUCUAGGUAUCAGACUAGAACUACUCAUCAUCAAAUCAUCUUCCCUUCAACUUUCUCAUCCCAUGCAGACAUCACUUCAACAUUUUUCCAGACAUACUACUUUGGAGGGCUUCCUCUGUUGAGGUGGUAAUGACAUUGAGAGAAGGAAGAGUGUGCAAUACAGUGACAAAGCUGACUCAAAAAUCUCAAAGGUGGAAUCCAUGGGCAAAUAGACUGCUGUUCUCUACUUUCUCUGCACCUCCCCUGUUUAGCUGUUGGUGUACACGUAUGUACAUGUUGGUGUACAGUGUGAAAUGUGAAAUAGCCAUUUGAUUCCUUCUUGUUUUGCCCAGUCCUGUACUUCCUUGCAUGAGAAAUGGGAGUCACUGUCACUUUGGAUGACAUCAGGGGUAGAUAAAUUUUUAAACUCAGAUGUUAAUCCUCCAAUUGUAUUUUGCCUACGUGCUUUCUGAUGCUUGGUUGCUACAAGGAAACCAGAAGCUAUUUUCACUUCUGUAAGGUCAUACCAAUAGCCUGCUGAGGAUAUGACUGGUCCAGUGUUAGUCAUGAUUAGCCACGUAGACCAUAACGUUUUCCCUCAUGGAUGUGUAGGGUUGGUGCCUUAGCAGGAUGAUUUGUUUGCAGUUUCAAUCUACACUGGGGUCAUUCUGUAAGAAUAACUUCACAAGUUUUCCUGUUUAUAGGUUUGCCUCUACUCUGUGCAGCUAUGUGCUUCCUUACCUGUGUGACCUCCGUUCUGAUGUAACCAUUCUACCAACUGAUUUCACUUAGGAUCUAAGACAAUUUUUCUAACUCUUGUUAACUCAUCCACUGUUACAUUCUAUUUUGUGGCUGGCUGAUUAUCCUUAGCAUGGGCUUUUACCUACCUAAUAUUAAAAGGUGUUUUCCUGGCCAUGCCUAGUAAUAAUUGCCAAUUCUUUUUCCUGCAUACUAGGGAUCUAUUUACUUCCCAGUUCAGGGCUUCCCAUUGACAGAGACACUAUGUGUCACAAGCCCACAUAGUAUAAGAAUCUACAUGUAUGAUUUUUGCUCCAUUGUGUGCUGCUUGGACAGCUGCUCUUAUUUUUCCUAUUUGUGUGCUACCUUCACAUUCCUCUAUUUCUUGCUUGCCAGUGGUAAUAUCCAAUGCAGCAGCUUUAUAUUGCUGUUUGCCAUUUUCCCUGUUGACUGAGGCCACGUGUUUUCUGUUGGUAUGCCUCAGUAAGGUGCAUUUCAAUUGGUGAAGGCUUAAAGAUAGCUGUAAUGCUAAAGAUAAGUGUUUAUAUGCAUCUAUCAUUUGAAAACUUUACUGUAUCUUUCAGCUAAUUUCUGGAUGGUAUGUUUUUGUGCAAUUCCUUUUCAGGGAGCAGUCCCCUUCAGGAUUACUUCCAUUCUGAUUUGUACAGGCUGUUCCUUACAUAUUUUCUCAACUUGCUUAACUGCUCAGACUAAAGAUGAUAGAAAUCUUUUUUUUUCCUGCUCAGAAUAUUGUUGUUCUGUUUUCUUUAAAUGUGGUUGAACAAAACAGUCAAGAUCUUUUUCACCCCCUGGGGCCAGUUUGGAACAGUAAGUAGCAUGUUCAACAAAACUCCAUUCAGCUAUAGCAGUGUUGAAGGGUUGUAUUGACCUAGUGACUGAUAUAUUUUUAACUCUUUAGUUAGAGUUUUAACUGCCUCUCUAUGUUCUAAUUUCCACUCCCAUGGCUUGCCUUUCUGUAGGGGUGAGUACAAUGGAUAGGAAAUGAUAGAAAAUCCAGGUACGUUUCCUCUAAUACCCUAAAGUUCCCAUUAACUGUUGUAAUUCCUUCCUUGAUUGAGCUCUACAAUUUUUCAUAGAGUAUCUGGAGGAAUCACUGCAUUAUUAUCAAUCAAGUAUCUUAAAUUUUUACUUCUUUACUUGGUUCCUUACAUUUUCCAGGUGGAAUCUCAACUCCUGCUUUAUCUAGUGUUUGCCAUACUACUGCUGCCACUUUGAAGUCCCUUCUAUUAUAAUAUCAUCUAUAUAUCAUUCUGAGGAAGUGAGAUUGUCUAUAGAAGUUCAGUGAGUCCAGCAUGAGCAAUUGUGGGAGAAUGCUUGUACUCCCAUGUGAGUCUGUAAAAGAUAUAUUGUAUUCCCUCCCAAGUGAAAACAAACUUUUAUUAAUCUUCUUCCUGCAAAGGAGCUGUAAAAAACAUAUUCUUUACAUCAAAAGCUGUCAUCCAUGGUUGUGGUUGCAAAGUAGCUGUUAAGUUUGUGGUGUUUGAGAUAGCAGCAGCUAGGAGGGCUGUAUUAGCAUUUAGGUGCCAAUAAUUGAUUGUUAAUCGCCCCCUCCCAUCUGCUUUCUGGACUGGCCAGACAGACGAGUUAUAUGGGGAGGGAGUUCUGGAGGGAAUUUGUCUUUUCUUCCAAUCUGCUUUAACUUCAGAAACUGCAUUUCAUACUGCAGUAGAAAUAAAGUAUUGCAAUCCAUUAGUGAUCUUAGAUUCAGGGAGUGCAGGGGCUGUGUGAACUGUACACACUGCAGCACCCCUAUCCCUUUGGUGUUCAAGAUUGUUAUUUGAACCAAAAGAUGUACGCUGCCUUUUGGCUGGCAUUAGAUUCACCCAUCGAGGACAUCAAAUCCUAAAAUAUUUUCAUGAUGGUUUUUAAUUGCAAAGUGAGUAGGUGAUGCACAUUUCUCACCUGGGAGUUAUAAGUUGACCCUAGUGGAUUGACAACAGCACUCGUGCCAUUCACGCCAGUAAUCUUAACCCUUUGUUAUCCAGAUUACACUUCUUGGCAUGUUGCUAUGUUAGUAUUGAAAUUUGGACUCCCGUGUCUAUUAGAAAUGUCACCAAUUGUCUUUGAGGACUGAUUGGUCUCAAUAUGUAUGAGCCAUCAUAGUUUAUUCAUUGAUAUGUCUCCACUUGUCAGACAAGCAGACCCAAUUGCUAGCCGCCCAUUACUUGUCUUUUUUUUCCUCAUGCCCUUUGAUUCUUCUUAGGGAAUGAGGAGAUUAUCUCACUUUCUCUGAACCGGUGUUGAAGAAGCUGACAUACAUUCCUUUCUUUCACUACCACUCAAUCUGUAUCACUAUGCCCGUGUCAUUUCUGAAAUGCUUCAGUCAGACCCAAUAUAAUGCUAGUAGGCUCACUAUGCGUUGCAUCUCUGGUAAUGCCCAGAGCUAAUGCCCUUUUCCAUAAGUCGGUUCUCUAUCCUCAAGAUCUUGUUAGCACAUUUUCAAAUUUAUUUCCUUUUGGUUUACCCACUGUUCCUUGUUCCACAGAUCCCACCUUAUGAUCUCCACCCCAGAACUUUAAACUUUGUCUGCCAGUUCAUCCUCCCAGCCCAUGACUGUAGUUAACUGUGCCAUGCAUUAAUUCUUCCCAUGUAGGGAGUUGAUUAAAGGUAUUGUAUGCAUUGUUAUCUUGUACUGAAUUAUGUUCUGUGUCUCUUGAUCACAUUCUGUUUUGCAGCUAGAUGGGAUUUAAGGAUAGCUGAGGCUCCUCUAAUUAGUGAUUUAAGCACUAUUAAAUCUAAUGAACAGAUAAUGGCACGUCAUGGGCCCCUCCUUCUUGUAAUACUUUUUUGCAAGUUACUUUUGUGAAGACUGUGAGGAGCUCACUUAAGAGAUUUAAUGGGAAUUACCAGGAGUUCACUUCACUCCAUGGGGCCUAUUCCCCCAGCCCUAUAAGCUACAUGGCUGGUGAUAGGGUGAAGUGUAUCUGCAGGCCCAGGUCUUAAAUUUAAGAAAACUCAUGGUGCGUAGUAGUUAUUUGCUUCAUUCAGACUCUUCGUAAUAUGGUCUCCAUCACUUAAGCAUACUUGCCACAAGUAUUCUGUUUUUCUCUGCUAUAUCUCCAUUGGAACUUUGUCAAUUGUAAUGGAUCCUAGGGGCAGUUCUCAUAGUAUAUUGUGGCUGACCACCUUGGGGUGAUGUAGAUUGGUUUGCUUAGCAACAGGGAUUAGAACAUUAGUUUAAGAACCAAUAUAUUAGUUUAACAGAAGGAAUUAGUAAAUUGAUAGUUCUGAAACUUUCCAUUUCAGCUUUAGUGGGUGAACAGUCUUGUUUUUCCUAAAUAAUUUUGCACUGCGGACAUAAUAGAAUAUACGUUUAUCUUCUGCCUCAAUGAUUUUGCCUCAUGAGAAGUGCUGGAAUCACAACAGAAUACUUUUAUUUUUUGCCUCAAAACGUGCAAGGGCAUUUUGAUUUUGUUCUACAUAGAUUGUUUAAAAAAGUGGCUCACUAUGGCCUAAUAAGCAAUGGAAAUUAUUCAAACUGGGGAUAAGUGCAUGGAAAUGAAUCAAAGGUUUCAGUGAUGAAGCUGGUGGUGGAAAAAAGUGGAAGUAGGUGGGCACUCGACUACUGUAAAUACCACUGAGCAUACCCAAAGGGACAUGUGCACACAUCUAUGAGACCUUGAAAAAGAAUGCAUAUGUGUUGCAGUGUACUGCUUGUGUAUGUCUUAACUGUAUAAAUAGAACCUGAACUCUGAAAGGGUAUGCUUGCUUGUCAAGUUGCCCAAUGUGCAUCAUGAGGAAUAAAAGGAAUGUUGCUUUCUAACACCACAUAGGAGUUAGAGAGUUUUCUUCCUGGAUUUCGGAUGACAAUUUUAGCAACCCAGAUGGGACAGUGAGACUGAAAUCUCAUGGACCAAAGGGGCCUCUGUUCAGCGCACAUCCUGAGUGAUUCUCUGGGAGAUCCCGCAAAUCCCAGCUCUGUCAGGACCAGCCACAAGUUCCCUGGAAUAGGACAGUACCAAAGGACUUGGAAAAUGCUGUAAUACCAUGGAUCGAAUCAUCAGAGACACCCAGACAACCGAGAUGAGCUGAACCAGCAACGGUAACUAUCUAGCUGAUGCCAGGAGCAGCACCGGUAAGAUGAAAUGUUUUCUUGCGAACUAAAGACCCUAGAGCCUUUGACAGAGUAUUUUAACUUGCUAAACAGCUGCAUGAAGACUUAAAAGGAGAAAUGGAAAACCUAAUGUGGACACUGGAAUGUGGAAGUCCUUCAGAGUCCUUAAGUUAAAAAGCCCUUGUUUAGAAACUGUAGCAGCUACAAUCUUGCUUGUACAGGAGGCCAGAAAAUUGACCCUGGGAAACAGAAUAACUUUGUAUAUUCCCUGUAUGGUUACUGCAGUACUGAAUCAAUCUAAAGAAAAUUUGUUGGCCAUCUCUGAGCAGGAUCAUGAAGUACAAAGUGUUCCUGGUAGAAUGAGAGGAAAUGAGAUUAAAGAUAUGAAAAUGUUUGUUGAUGAUAGCAGUUUUGUGUGAGAUGGCUUAGGAAGGCCAGGUAUGCUGAAACAACCAGAGAUAAAAUAAUAGGCUGGUUCUCUGGCACUACCACCUCAGCAGAGAAAGCAGAACUCGCAGCCUUGUUAAGAGCACUGGAGUUAGCAAAAGGGAAUAAGUGCCAAUAUUUGGACAGACUUAAAAUUUGCAUUUGGGAUUGUGCAUAUGGAUGGUGCUAUCUGGAAAGAACAGAGGCUAUUAAUCUCCCAAGGAAUACCUGUAAAAUAUGGAGAAACAAUAAUAAAACUGUUAGACCAAAGGAAAUAGCUAUAAAACACUGCGAAGCCCACCAGUCAAACAUCAGUUAUAUCAAUAUGGGCAACAGUAGUUCAGAUACAGCUGCCAAAAAUGCAGCAGAAGGAGCUUUCUUCCAACUCAUAACCCUGAGAUAUCAAAGACUGAUGAAUGAACAUCCGAAAUACCAGACAGAAGUUGAAAAACUAGCUUUCUUGCUAAAAACUGAGAAAACAAAGCAGGAUGGUGGGCAACUCCAAACAACCAAGUAAUAGUUCCCCAACCAGUAAGGAGGAAAAUAGUAGAGGAUAAUCAAACUAUAUGCUGGGCGUCAGAUGCUAUCAUCAAUAGUCUAAGACUCAAAUUUUAAGUGUGUGAAUGGGAGAAAUUGUGAAAAGCAUGGUGAGCAAAGUGUGAAGUAUGCCUGAAAUAUAAUCCACACAAUACAAAAAGACCACCUCCUGGAGUUACAAGGAGAGGAUGCAGCCCAGGAAACUAUUGGCAGAUAGACUAUUCUGAGCUAACAUGAAAAGCUGGCUACAGAUACUUACUGGUAUUGGUUGAUACUUUUUCAGGACGACCAGAGGCUGAUUGCUGUCACACCAAUGAAGCAAGAGAAGUAGUAAAGGUUAUGCUAAAAGAUGUUAUCUCUAAUUUGGGGUACUAAAAUGGAUAUCAUCAGAUAGAGGUUCAUAUUUUGUAGCUGAAAUUGUUCAAAACCUAGGAAAAAUCAUUGGAAUAGAAUGAGGUUUGCAUACUCUUUAAAGGCUGCAGUCUAGUGAAAAGAUGGAAAAAAUGAAUAAUAAUAUAAAAAAAAAUUAGUAAAAUCUGUUAAGAAACAGACUUGAAAAGGCCUGAGGCUCAACCUCUCACCUUACUAUAUGUUCUGAUAAAACAGCAUGCUGAAGAGAAAAUUAGUCCUUACGAAAUUAUGUAUGGAAGACCAUUUCAGGUAUUGGUGGCUAGUAUUAAUGUAAACCAAUUAGGUGAACUAAAGCUAAGAGAAUGUCAUCUCUUUGGGAAAAGUCCUAUCUUCUAUCCACAGGUUUGUGGCUCCAGUGGCACCAGCACCUCUGGGAGUCAUAGCACAUCCAUUCCAACUCGGUGAGUGGGUGUAUCUAUGGACUUGGAGCUCCGAACCACUACAGGAGAAGUGGAAAGGACCAUAUCAAAUACUACUGGCAAUGCACACUGCUGUCAAAGUGGCAGGAGUAGACUCUUGAAUUCAUUACAGAAAAACAGAAAGUGCACAACCCACAGUGGCAAGUAGAACAGACUGCACUGAUGAAACUGAAAUUUUCAUGUAUAUGAAUACAACUUGAAAAACGGGGAAAUGAAAAAUCAUUUUAUGAACUUGAAUAUAGUUAUUGAGAUACAGUUACUUUUAGAGUAACUAAAUUGUUUGUCUUAUAUUGACUGCAUUAAUUGUUUGCUUAUAUUAAUUGUUUGGGGAAAAAAACACCUCUUUUGCAAUUCUUAAGGGAUAUAUAUUUUGUUUGUCUAAAACAAUAAUAAUUUUUGCAAUAUGUACUUAUUGCUUAUCAAUUGCAUGCAUGGGAUCAAAAUAAGCACAUGAAAUUGAUGAAAAAGGGGGCUGACGCUAACAGUUCUGGUUCUUGUUGGAUAUGCUCAGAAUUGCCAAAAUAUGAGACAAAUCCAUACCCAUUGUGAGGAUUACCACUACCAAAACUACCAAAACAGAGUUGGGACACAGUAUUUGUUAACAUCCAUAGCGUACUUUGCAGAUAGAUAUGAAGAAUUACAAACAUGGAUUGUAGGAAUUCAGCCUAUGAAUGAUACCAUUUGUCUGACAGAUGCAGACUAGUCAAGUAGGGAAGGCUCCAGUAGGAAAAUACCCACACUAUAAAUGCACUAUAAAUGAUAAAUAAGUAUUUUGGGAAAAAAAAAAAAAAAAAAAAAAAACAACAACCAAAAACAGGAAUAAAUAUUGGAUCUCAGCUAAAAGGAAAGAUACUGGCUAUGUGGAGAUCGAGCUUGGAGGGUAUUAACUUCAUGGUAAAUCAUGACUUGUACUCUAGGAAUGGUAAUACCAUAGAUGAUAGUAGCAAAUCAGUUAUCUGGGGUAAUACAGGCCUGAGUACUCUCCAAAGUCAAGAGAGAAGUCUUUAAUCCGUUAAUAGAAAAACCUAAUAGUUUUCAUUCAUUCGUUAAGUGCUUUAUUCCCUCUUUAGAAGUUGCAGAAAGGGCCAUCAGCACAUAUCUAUGAGAAAAAUCUUUUCUUGAAAAAGAAUGAAUGUGUAUGCCAAUGUACUGCAUUGUACUUCCAGGCCCCCCUACUUCUUCCUCAAGGGGAUCUCUGGGUCUCGGGCCCUUUUCCAGCGCUGCAACAGUAACAGCUGCUAUUGUUUUUUCCAAUUUCCUUGCUCCUCAAUCAAUUUUCCAGAUCCCUCAUCUCUCUUCUGGGUCCUGACAUCCCUGUUACACUUUGCUCAUCUCUGCGUUCCUCAGCCUGUUUCUUUCCGAAACCUUUUUCACUUUCCAAACUUUCAUAAUUACAAAAACAUAUCAUUAACAGUUACACUUUCAUAUACCAUCAAAACAGUUUUUCCCCUUCCUUCAAAAUCAUGAGUCAAGCAAUUCAAUUCUUCAACUUAGUCUCACAAUUAGGAUACUCAGUUAUAAGAACUGGUUCUGUUACUUAAUUUAUGUUCUCAGUUUCUUUCUCAGGGUCUUCCCUGGCUCACCAGCGAUGUCCUUCUAGUGAGCUAAAAUACAACUCAGAGGGGUGUUUUUUGGAAUUUUCUUAGAUGCUCUCUAUCCAGUGAUAACCUUUUAUAUUUGUCCAGUUCUAAUUGCAGAUGAAAGUCCUUCAUGCGUGGCUGGGUAAUGGAGUCUACCUGCUUCCCCAGGGUACAGUAUCAGAUCGAAUUCAUUAUCCAAGAGCCAUAACCAACAUCCCCCAGCAAGACAGGAAUUUUUAAACGAGGAAUGUAUUUCCACAACUAUCACUUUCACAGCACAAGCAUUUAACAAUCUGCAGGACAAUAACAAAAAUCAAUAUAGUUGCCACAACCAAGAAAACCAGUUCAGACAUUUACUCUUUCCACGUGUUUCCACCUGUCACAUAUGUGCAGUGACACAUUUUAUUCCAGACUGUAAAUGUCCUACCCAAUACAGCUGCUGUGCCAGGGCCUUACCCAGUUAACUUUCAGAGAGAUUGAUGAUCUGUGUCCCAUGCCAAAAAAUUAUGGUUUUGGUGCCUUCAGGACUGAUACAUGGUUUUAUGGCUGUGCACUAUGUGGUGCCCACCAGGCUUAUGUGUACAUCUCUAAGGCUUUAUUCAGAAAAAAUAAUCCAGACUUAAGGAAUAUCUUUGUCCAGAGGGUCUUGUCAGUUCCCAUAGUGAUCCACCUGAGAGUUGGAGUUCUUUCUGGACAAGCUGCCAGCAGGCCCAAGGAGUCCGCCUCUCAGAGGGUCCCACAGCUAAGCUGAGUCUCUUGCCUGGCUUAUCAAUUAAAGCUGAGAAAUCCAACAUUAACUUGACACAACAGUGAGUUAUGUUAAGCAUGUAUUUCUUCGUUACAGUGCUGGGUGCAUGGGGGAUCACUCCACCCAACCUGCACAGUGAGGAAAUUGGCGACAACACAUUUGUGGGUAUAGCGUGUAUGUAUUCAUUACAUUUCUGAGAAAUUGGUUACAUACGCAUUGGAUUUCUGAGUACUUGUUAACAUGUUGUCCUACUCUUCUGAGCAUGUGUCAUAAAAUGUGGGGAAGAUCUACGAGCCCCAUCUGGUGGUUGUUGGAUGAAGACUAGUAAUCAUCCUCGCUGUGAACUUCUUACCUUCGGGGGGUGUUGCAGCCCAGACUGGUUUCUGCUGGUACUGUGCUGAGGCAUCUGUUCUGCUUUCUUAUCUUUACUUGACCGCAGGUUCUCUUGGCCUCUGCAUUCUGUCCUUAAGCCUAUAUUUAUAAGUGUUCUGUCCUUCAGCUAAUGUCUGCACAAGUUACGUGAUAAAGUUGUUCAUUGUUCCUGAUUCACCUAACGCUGCACUUCUUUUUUACAUUGGAAGAGUGUUCAGGAUGGAGAUGGCACUGAACUGAUGCAUGAGAAGUAUUCUUAGAGCUUGCCUAUUGUGUUUGUUCAUGCUGUUUCUUUUUUUGCAGAAAUGGUUUUAUCACAAGCAUCUAGUGCUGUAGUGACUUAUGUUUGAAUGACGUAUUUAAAGGUGAAAGAUGUGUGCAGAAGUCACUUCUAACUAUGCUUGCUUGCUUUGGAUCAUAUUUUGCUAAGUGCAUUCUAGAUCCAUUAACUACACGUAAAGUGGAAGCACUUGACAAUUAAAAAAUAUAUAUAUAGACAAAGAUAUCUUAGUCAUAUAUUAACAAAUGCAAUACAAAUCAGAGAUCCUUUUUUUUUUUUUUUUUUUUUUUUUUAAAUUUCUGUUGAUAUACAUAGAAUAACAGGAUAGAAGAUGACAUAUCUUACCACAUUUUAAUAGAGCUAGUUCAUCUGUAAGUAAAUAAGUCAGUUUUGAUGGGUGAAAACAUAUCCAAAAGGUUUGAGUUAGUUUUCUUGAGUUUCUGUUUCCCUCUGCUGGACUGUAGUUAGAACUGCCAACCUUUUUUUUUUUUUUUUUUUUUUUUUUUUUUUUUUUUUCUUCUCACAAUCAAUCUUCUAAGGUUACUGCUUCCUACUGCUUGCUUCCUUGUACUUCCAGGUGAAACACUUGAACAGUCUUCUUUGGUGGCCACAUCAAUAGGGCUGAUCAACUUAUUUUGUAAUAAUAUCUUUAAAUAAAUACCGCAAAUAAAUACAAGUUUGAAACAGUAAGGAAAAGACACAAAGACACUUAGAAAUAUUUUAAGAUGAAACUAAAAUAUUUCCUUGAAAUAUUAAAUAUUAAAAUGAAUGAUUCCAAUAUAAUUAUCAACUGAAAUAAAAUUGAUGUAAUUGAUUUUAUUCUCCAUGGUGUCAAGUAUUAGCUGGAGUUUUUCUUUUAGGUGGAAGUUACAACUACAACGACAGCUAGGAAAAUAUGAACUGGACAUGGGAAGAAACUGUGAAAGUAAUGUAGCACAGGAGCAGGUAUCUGAAGGGAGUGUGGAAUCUCCAGACCCAGACAAUGUUGAGAUUUAGCUGGUCUGGAGUAACCUGCACUAGAUAUCAAGUUGGCUCUGCUUUAAAGCAGUACAAUGGACUAGAAUGACUUGCCUGUUUUACUGUGUGUGAUAUGCAGGCUAACUGAUCUGGAGUGUAGGCAGGCUGAAGAGAUGAAGUAACAAAACUUUCAAAGUCUCCUGCUUUUAUUCAACCAGAGUAAGAUAGUAAUACUUUGCUAUAGCUCCAAAUAAUAAUACUUUUUGAAAAUUCAUAUUACUGUCUGGCAUGAUGAGCUAGUGUGGUUUAUAAAACAUGUCUGAACAUUUAUUAUACUCAUAUGCAUG